rnacentral:antisense_RNA from 1 species
UGUGGGAGCGGGCUUGCCCGCGAUGAGGCCGGCACAUCCAGAAUUUUCGUAAUCUGACCCACCGCCAUCGCGGGCAAGCCCGCUCCCACA